GUAACGGCGAGUGAAGCGGCAACAGCUCAAAUUUGAAAUCUGGCCUCUUCGGGGUCCGAGUUGUAAUUUGUAGAGGGUGUUUCGGGCGCGAUGCCGGUCUAAGUUCCUUGGAACAGGACGUCGUAGAGGGUGAGAAUCCCGUAUGCGACCGGCGAUCAAGCCCAUGUGAAGCCCCUUCGACGAGUCGAGUUGUUUGGGAAUGCAGCUCCAAAUGGGUGGUAAAUUUCAUCUAAAGCUAAAUAUUGGCCAGAGACCGAUAGCGGACAAGUAGAGUGAUCGAAAGAUGAAAAGCACUUUGGAAAGAGAGUCAAACAGUACGUGAAAUUGUUGAAAGGGAAGCGCUUGCAAUCAGACCGGUCCGGAGGCGAUCAGCCGCUGCUCGUUCAGCGGUGCACUCGCCUGCGAUCCGGCCAGCAUCGGUUUGGGCGGCGGGAUAAAAGGCCCGGGAAUGUAGCUUCUCUCGGGGAGUCUUAUAGCCCGGGUCGCAAUGCCGCCCGCCUGGACCGAGGACCGCGCUU
rnacentral:rRNA from 1 species